CCUACGGGAGGCAGCAGUGGGGGAUAUUGCACAAUGAGGGAAACCCUGAUGCAGCGACGCCGCGUGCGUGAAGAAGUAUUUCGGUAUGUAAAGCUCUAUCAGCAGGGAAGAAAAUGACAGUACCUGACCAAGAAGCGCCGGCUAACUACGUGCCAGCAGCCGCGGUAAUACGUAGGGGGCAAGCGUUAUCCGGAUUUACUGGGGGGAAAGGGAGCGUAGACGGUUGUGUAAGUCUGGAGUGAAAGCUCGGGGCCCAACCCCGGGACUGCUUUGGACACUGUGUAACGGGAGUACAGGAGGGGCAGGCGGAAUUCCUGGUGUAGCGGUGAAAUGCGUAGAUAUCAGGAGGAACACCGACGGCGAAGGCGGCCUGCUGGACUGAUACUGACGUUGAGGCUCGAAAGCGUGGGGAGCAAACAGGAUUAGAUACCCCAGUAGUC
rnacentral:rRNA from 1 species